UCCUCUCCAGAGUCGUUUCAGGGUUUGCUUUCAGGCAGCAAGCACUGGCAAGUGCUCGUUGGGGGUGGGGAAUCCUAGUAGCCUGGGCGGGGUGGUGUUUGCAUUUGCAACCACUGUGGCUGCCUGCCCUGCUGGCUCAUCUCCUGUUGUUGCUGCAAGUCCCGACUCACCCCAGAGUCCAAACUCAACAAUGAACUCAUCAGGUGAAGUUAAGCAAGCUGCUCUGCUUCAUCCUCACCAGCCCACUAAAGUACAGGCAUUAUUCCUCAUGGAUUACAAGUGAUACAGAGAGACAUCUGUUGGCCAUGGCUAUUGGCCAAAUCUGAACUUACUACAGAAGCAUUUUGGCUUGUCAAUUAGUGCAUGCUACAUGACAACCUUUAUGUUGCUAUUAUUAAGAAGCAGAAUCUCAGCCAGGUGCACAUAAAUAAGUCCUUAUUAGUUAAGCGAGAAUGUCUUAUUUAACUAGACGUGAGGGGGAAAACAAAACAUGACCAUUACUGCUUAUUUGUUGUCCACCUCUG